rnacentral:rRNA from 1 species
CGUGGGUGACCUACCUCGAAGUGAGGGAUACCGGCGAGAAAUCGCCGACAAUCCCGCAUAGGUUUCCGGCUUCACCGUGAAGCGGGAAACAAAGCUUUUUUUCGUGAGAAGAGGGGCGCUUUGAGAUGGGCCCGCGGCCGAUUAGCUGGUUGGUGGGGUAAGAGCCUACCAAGGCGACGAUCGGUAGCUGGUCUGAGAGGACGAUCAGCCACACUGGGAUUGAGAACGGCCCAG